CCUACGGGCGGCAGCAGUGGGGAAUAUUGGACAAUGGGCGAAAGCCUGAUCCAGCCAUGCCGCGUGUGUGAAGAAGGCCUUCGGGUUGUAAAGCACUUUCAGUGGGGAAGAAAGCCUUGGGGCUAAUACCCUCGAGGAAGGACAUCACCCACAGAAGAAGCACCGGCUAACUCCGUGCCAGCAGCCGCGGUAAUACGGAGGGUGCGAGCGUUAAUCGGAAUUACUGGGCGUAAAGCGCGCGUAGGCGGUCUGAUAAGCCGGUUGUGAAAGCCCCGGGCGCAACCUGGGAACGGCAUCCGGAACUGUCAGGCUAGAGUGCAGGAGAGGAAGGUAGAAUUCCCGGUGUAGCGGUGAAAUGCGUAGAGAUCGGGAGGAAUACCAGUGGCGAAGGCGGCCUUCUGGACUGACACUGACGCUGAGGUGCGAAAGCGUGGGUAGCAAACAGGAUUAGAUACCCCAGUAGUC
rnacentral:rRNA from 1 species